CCUACGGGAGGCAGCAGUGGGGGAUAUUGCACAAUGGGGGGAACCCUGAUGCAGCGACGCAGCGUGGGUGAAGAAGCGCCUCGGCGCGUAAAGCCCUGUCAGCAGGGAAGAAAAUGACGGUACCUGAAGAAGAAGCCACGGCUAACUACGUGCCAGCAGCCGCGGUAAUACGUAGGGGGCACGCGUUAUCCGGAUUUACUGGGUGGAAAGGGGGCGCAGACGGCGAUGCAAGCCAGGAGUGAAAGCCCGGGGCCCAACCCCGGGACUGCUCUUGGAACUGCGUGGCUGGAGUGCAGGAGGGGCAGGCGGAAUUCCUGGUGUAGCGGUGAAAUGCGUAGAUAUCAGGAGGAACACCGGUGGCGAAGGCGGCCUGCUGGACUGCAACUGACGUUGAGGCCCGAAAGCGUGGGGAGCAAACAGGAUUAGAUACCCGGGUAGUC
rnacentral:rRNA from 1 species